GAGUUCGCGGGAGAGUAAGUUGUUGCCAGGGUUUUUGUUUUAUACUUUAAACAUUGAUUUUAUUUUUUAUGUUUUUAGAUGUUCAUGUUUUUGAAUGUUUUAUUCAAAUAAUAUAAAAAAUAAAAUAUAUAUUGACAUGGAUUAAACAAAGAUAUAUAUUAUUCUAUGUUGUAUAAACAAAUUGGCAAAAUAGAGAUGGAAGAUAAAAAUAUGGUCAAAGUAAUAAGAGUCUAUGGUGAAUGCC
rnacentral:misc_RNA from 2 species